AUGUAAUGAUGGCUUGUAGAGAG
rnacentral:snRNA from 1 species